UACGUAGGGGGCGAGCGUUGUCCGGAUUUAUUGGGCGUAAAGAGCUCGUAGGCGGUUUGGCAAGUCGGGUGUGAAAACUCCGGGCUCAACUCGGAGACGCCACUCGAUACUGCCAUGACUUGAGUCCAGUAGGGGAGUGCGGAAUUCCUGGUGUAGCGGUGAAAUGCGCAGAUAUCAGGAGGAACACCGGUGGCGAAGGCGGCACUCUGGGCUGGUACUGACGCUGAGGAGCGAAAGCGUGGGGAGCGAACAGG
rnacentral:rRNA from 1 species